GAUGAACGCUGGCGGCGUGCCUAACACAUGCAAGUCGAACGGACAGACAGUGAGCUUUCGCUUCUUACGUUAGCGGCUGGCGGGUGAGUAACGCGUGUAUAACCUUCCUAUAUUACUUGGAUCACUUCGGAAAGCCGGAUCUAAUACCAUAGAAUAUAUUGAACCGCAGGGUUCAAUAGUGAAUUGCGGCUUUUGUGUCUGUUUUAGCUGUAUCCGCGACGCAUUAGCUAGUUGGUAAGGUAACAGCUUACCAAGGCAACGAUGCGUAGCCGAGCUGAGAGGGUGAUCGGCCACACUGGAACUGAGACACGGUCCAGACUCCUACGGGAGGCAGCAGUAGGGAAUAUUGGGCAAUGGGCGAAAGCCUGACGGAGCAACGCCGCGUGAGUGAAGAAGGCCUUCGGAUCGUAAAGCCCUGUUAUUAGGGAAGAACAACUGUGGAAUUAAACACGGCCGUCUUGACGGUACCUAAUGAGAAAGCAACGGCUAACUACGUG
rnacentral:rRNA from 1 species